UACGGAGGGUGCAAGCGUUAUCCGGAUUCACUGGGCUUAAAGGGUGCGUAGGCGGGUUGGUAAGUCAGUGGUGAAACCUUCAAGCUUAACUUGGAAACUGCCGUUGAUACUAUCAAUCUUGAAUAUUGUGGAGGUAAGCGGAAUAUGUCAUGUAGCGGUGAAAUGCUUAGAUAUGACAUAGAACACCGAUAGCGAAGGCAGCCUGCUGGACAAUAAUUGACGCUGAGGCACGAAAGCGUGGGGAUCAAACAGG
rnacentral:rRNA from 1 species